CCACUAAACAUAUGAAGAUGUUUGAUAAUGCUACACACUUUUGUUUAAGUCUUGUUAGCUAAUUAAUUUAAUUUUUAUGUUUCCUAUUCAUAAUACUCUGCAUUUCCCAUGGAUGGAGGGUAAAGCACAGCUGAGUCCAGCAACUGAGGGCAUGUCAAGCAAUCAAGAAGCAGAGUUGGAGGUGGUAACAGCCACACUUGCUGCUGUGGCUGAGUUAGCCCUCCUGUCCUCAUCUCAGCCAGAGCCAAGCCAGCAAAGCCACUGUCCAUAUUGUCAGCAGUGCAACCCACAUCAUUCUGCACUCUCCCUGUCCAGCCCUCAACAUCAUUGCAUCUCCUUGCCUACUGCUGGUUCUAAAAGGUGACACACAAGCAGGGCAGAAUGUCUAGCAGUUCCUCAGAUAUUGGAGAUCUAACAAGGCAUCCUCAGCAAGAUGAGGAACAUCUUGGUUCAUUGGAUAUGUUGAAUGACCACCUGGAUGUAAGAAACUCUUACUUUCAACACAUGCAUGGAGGCCAUGACUACAGUGCUGGAAGUCAUAGCCAGUUCCUUGGCAGAAAUUGCUGUCAGGAAAGAUGAAUUACAACACCACUUUGCUUAUGUAUAAUGUAUGAUUAUUUUCUUAUUUUUAGAUAUGAUAAUAGAUUAGUAACAUGUUGCUUAUAAGAUUUUCACCAUUUUCUCUUUGUUUUAUAAGUUUUUUUUUUCUUUCAUAUGUAGUACAUUAAGCUAAUUUUUUGGGGGUGAAAGUAAAUCUGUAACUUGUCUUUUAUUUUGACAAUACUUAAGUGUAUAUGAGCAUAGUGAAAGACUGGAAGGGCACUUGGAUGUUAUAAUACGUUGAGGUAGUACAUGUGAGACAAAAGGUGCUGGUGCAUGGCUUUGAGCAAGUGAGGAAGGAAGACUUCAACUGGAAGACAUGGAAGCUUCUGCCAAGGCCACCUCCUUAGAUGCUGUCUUCAAUAGGCAUAAAACAUCGAGAGAGAGAGAGAGAGAGAGAGAGAGAGAGAGAGAGAGAGAGAGAGAGAGAGAGAGAGAGAGAGAGAGAGAGAGAGAGAGAGAGAGAACACAUUUUUUGUUGACAGUCCAGCAGUGAGCCAGUCCAGCUUGGAUACCUCCUCUAUAUUCUUAAGCUUCAGGGUCAUCAUCAAGUAGUGGCUCAUUCAGGGGAAUUUUUCUUUGGAUGUACAUAUUGUGCAACUACAUAUGUGCAGCUGCUUUGUGAGCACUUUUAACUGGGUGGUACAGCAGGGUGCCACGUGACUUGUACAGACAGCAGAAUCUGGAUUCCAGUGUCCCAUAUGUCUAUCACCACACGUGUCUUUGUGUGGCUGUUGAAGGCGUACUUGCUUGCAGUUCUUGGGUGGCUCAGAAGUUAUUAGAAAAGAGUUCCAGAGAAUAAAAGAAUCACCUGCAAUGAUAGAAGCUCUCUUCCUCCACACAAAACUACAAGCACCUAAUAACACACACACCCUUCACCCAAAAAUUUUAAAAUCAUCAUGGCGACUCCUACACCAACCUCGGAGUCCCCAUCUGGGGAGGGGACCAUAAAUGUCCCCAGGUCGGACUGCCUUUCUGUCGACGACCCUAAGUGUCUUGACACCCCCCUCAACUUUUUCUUCAUUAACUUCUGCAACAUUCGCGGUCUAAAAUCUAAUUUUCAAUCUGUAGAACACCACCUCUCCUCUUCUAAACCUCAUCUUCUUUUCCUCACUGAAACUCAGGUGUCUGAGGCAACUGACAGUAGCCCCUUUUCUGUUCCCUCCUACUUUCUCUAUCCUCAUUUUUUAUCCAAAGCUGGAUGCUGCGUUUAUGUGCGCAAUGACUUAACCUGCUCUCGUGCCCACGCUCUUUAAUCUUCCGAGUUUUCCACCAUCUGGCUACGACUACAGAGUCACUCGCUCUCAUACUAAAUUUAUCUGUGCUGUAUACCUCUCUCCUAACUCCUCUGACUAUAAGAAAUUCUUUGACUACUUAACUUCCAAAGUGGAGCACAUUCUGACCCUCUUCCCUUUUGCAGAGAUCUCCAUUCUUGGAGACUUCAAUGUUCAUCACCAGCUUUGGCUUUCCUCUCCCUUCACUGACCAUCCUGGUGAACUAGCCUACAACUUUGCUAUCCUCCAUGACCUAGAGCAAUUGGUGCAACACCGUACUUGUAUUCCUGACCGUCUUGGAGAUACGCCCAACAUUCUUGACCUUUUCCUGACCUCUAAUCCUUCUGCUUAUGCUGUCACCCUUUCUUCUUCGUUGGGCUCCUCCGAUCACAAUCUCAUAUCUUUAUCUUGUCCUAUCACUCCAAUCCCUCCUCAGCAUCCCCCUAAGCGAAGGUGCCUCAGGCAUUUUGCCUCUGCUAGUUGGGGGACCUGAGGAGGUAUUUUGCUGAUAUUCCUUGGAAUGACUACUGCUUCCGUGUCAGAGACCCGUCUUUGUGUGCUAAGCACAUAACAGAGGUGAUAGUGUCUGGCAUGGAGGCGUACAUUCCUCACUCUUUUUCUCGUCCUAAACCUUCUAAACCUUGGUUUAACACAGCUUGUUCUCGUGCUAUACAUGAUAGAGAGGUGGCCCACAAAAGGUACUUAAGCCUUCCAUCACCAGAAUCUCAUGCACUUUAUAUUUCUGCCUGGAACCAUGCCAAGUAUGUUUUCCAACUAGCCAAAAACUCCUUCAUUAACAGAAAAUGUCAAAACCUUUCAAGAUCUAACUCCCCUCAUGAUUUCUGGCAUCUAGCCAAAAAUAUCUCCAAUAACUUUGCUUCUUCUUCUUUCUCUCCUCUAUUUCAACCAGAUGGCACCACUGCUAUCACAUCUAUUUCUAAAGCUGAACUCUUUGCUCAAACCUUUGCUAAAAAACACUACCUUGGAUGAUUCUGGGCUUGUUCCUCCCUCUCCUCCACCCUCUGACUACUUCAUGCCACAUAUUAAAAUUCUUCGCAAUGAUGUUUUCCAUGCCCUCGCUGGCCUAAACCCUCGAAAGGCUUAUGGACCUGAUGGGGUCCUUCCUAUUGUUCUCCGAAACUGUGCCUCUGUGCUUGCACCUUGCCUAGUCAAACUCUUUCAGCUCUGUCUGUCAACAUCUACCUUACCUUCUUGCUGGAAGUUUGCCUACAUUCAACCUGUUCCUAAAAAGGGUGACCGCUCUAAUCCCUGAAACUACCGUCCUAUUGCUUUAAUUUCCUGCUUAUCUAAAGUUUUUGAAUCUAUCCUCAACAGGAAGAUUCUUAAACAUCUAUCACUUCACAACCUUCUAUCUGAUCGCCAGUAUGGGUUCCGUCAAGGCCACUCUACUGGUGAUCUUCUGGCUUUCCUUACUGAGUCUUGGUCAUCCUCUUUUAGAGAUUUUGGUGAAACUUUUGCUGUUGCCUUGGACAUAUCAAAAGCCUUUGAUAGAGUCUGGCACAAAGCUUUGAUUUCCAAACUACCCUCCUACGGUUUCUAUCCUUCUCUCUGUAACUUCAUCUCAAGUUUCCUUUCUGACCGUUCUAUUGCUGCUGUGGUAGACGGUCACUGUUCUUCUCCUAAAUCUAUUAAUAGUGGUGUUCCUCAGGGUUCUGUCCUGUCACUCACUCUCUUCUUAUUAUUCAUUAAUGAUCUUCUAAACCAAACUUCUUGUCCUAUCCACUCCUACGCUGAUGAUACCACCCUGCACUUUUCCACGUCUUUUCAUAGACGUCCAACUCUUCAGGAGGUAAACAUAUCACGCAGGGAAGCCACAGAACGCCUGACUUCUGAUCUUUCUAAAAUUUCUGAUUGGGGCAGAGCAAACUUGGUAUUGUUCAAUGCCUCAAAAACUCAAUUCUUCCAUCUAUCAACUUAACACAACCUUCCAGACAAUUAUCCCCUCUUCUUCAAUGACACUCAACUGUUUCCCUCUUCUACACUGAACAUCCUCGGUCUGUCCUUUACUUAUAAUCUGAACUGGAAACUUCACAUCUCAUCUCUAGCUAAAACAGCUUCUAUGAAGUUAGGUGUUCUGAGACGUCUCCGCCAGUUUUUCUCACCCACCCAGCUGCUAACUCUGUACAAGGGCCUUAUCCGUCCAUGUAUGGAGUAUGCUUCACAUGUCUGGCGGGGUUCCACUCAUACUGCUCUUCUAGACAGGGUGGAAUCAAAAUCUUUUUGUCUCAUCAACUCCUCUCCUCUAACUGACUGUCUUCAGCCUCUCUCUCACCGCCGCAAUGUUUCAUAUCUAGCUGUCUUCUACCGCUAUUUUCAUGCUAACUGCUCUUCUGAUCUUGCUAACUGCAUGCCUCCCCUCCUUCCGCGGCCUUGCUGCACAAGUCUUUCUUCUUUCUCUCACCCCUAUUCUGUCCACCUCUCUAACGCAAGAGUUAACCAGUAUUCUCAAUCAUUCAUCCCUUUCUCUGGUAAACUCUGGAACUUCCUGCCUGCUUCUGUAUUUCCACCUUCCUAUGACUUGAAUUCCUUCAAGAGGGAGGUUUCAAGACACUUAUCCACCAAUUUUUGACCACUGCUUUGACCCUUUUAUGGGACUGGCAUUUCAGUGGGCAUUUUUUUUAUUAGAUUUUUGUUGCCCUUGGCCAGUGUCCUUCCUACAUAAAAAAAAAAAAAAAAAGGAUUAAUCCAGGCCAAAAAAAAAGCUUUAAAAAUUUUGUUCAUAAACAACCAUCACAUUAUUUUAAUACCCAUUUCUUGUUCAUUAAAUUAGCUUUCACUCUACUCUCCAAUCUAUAUAAUUUUUAUACAGAUUUACACAUGCUUCAUAAGAAAAAUCUUCAUAUUGUAAAGAAACAAUUUAGCUUUUUCAAGUACACUUGCUUAAUAACUUACAUUUACUGGAGACAAUCUUGAAAAUAUAGUGUGAUAAAAAAAAAGUACUUCAUAGGUGACACUGGUAUGCUGACAAUUAUUUGCAAAAUUUUUGCAAAACAAUUUUAGCACCAAUUUUGUAAUGCAUUACCACUAAAAGUAAACUGGUAUUAUAAUUUGAUAACUGAAGAACAUAGUAAUUAGUUUUGAAGUUUCAUACACAUCAAAUGAAGAUGAAUACACAAACAAAUGAAAGGUUACUCACCAAGGAGUCAAAGGGUGCAGGAUUUCAUGGUGAAGCAGACAUCCAGUGGAUCAAACCAAUCACUGAAGACCCUUUCCCUGCACACCUUGUCAUGUUCUAUGGCCCACAGGAAUCCAUGAAGGUUGAAAGAAGUUACUUUUAUCAACAAGAAUGUUCUUAUUUUAUUUUUACUUAUAGAUGAUAGUAAUGUUUAUAAGGAAUAAGCACAAAGAUUAUAUAUGAUACUUAAAUACAGCUUAAAAUGCAAUGUUAGGAACAAAAGCUUAGUAACUUGUAAAGAAACAAUAACUUUUGUCAGGAGUAAUGCAACUUAAGUAAUACUGGUCAUUGUAUUGAAGAAAUUUUAACUUUAAUUAAUCCAGAACCAUCAGGGCAUCCAACUUAUAAUUAUUCCUUUUCCAUCUCUGGCUUCAUACAAGUUAACUUAUAAUUGUAUCUUUUCAGUCACUGGUUUCAUACAUAUUAACUACAGCAGCCUCACCUAUGUGGCUCUUGCUGCCCCUACCAGACACCACUACAAAAUUCUGCUGUUGCAGUUGCAUACCAUCUCCACCACCACCACCACAAAUUAUUUCUGGCACUUGCUACCCCAACCACACACCAUCACCACACCUGCCUUAGUACCUAACGUACUCCCCCACUACACACCUUCAGCAUCAUCACACUUACUUCUAUACCAGUUUCUAAAUAAAUAAUGAACAACACAACACAUACACAACACUAUCACACUUACUGUUUCUCACCACAUCACCAUCACUUUGCUUCCACCUCCCUGGCACUUUCUGCCAUCACCCCCACCACUACACCUGCCUGCUUUGACUUCACCAGUUAAGGUUAAUUCAGUAUAUAUAUAUAUAUAUAUAUAUAUAUAUAUAUAUAUAUAUAUAUAUAUAUAUAUAUAUAUAUAUAUAUAUAUAUAUAUAUAUAUAUAUAUAUAUAUAUAUAUAUGUGUCAUCUCUAGCUAAAACAGCUUCUAUGAAGUCAGGUGUUCUGAGACAUCUCUGCCAGGUUUACUCAUCCUUCCAGCUACUAACUCUGUACAGGGACCUUAUCCAUCCAUGUAUGGAAUGUGCUUCUUUGUCACAUGGGGGUUCCACUCAUACUACUCUUCUAGACAGGGUGGAAUCAAAAAGCUUUAUGUCUCAUCAACUCCUCUCCUCUAACUGUCCUCAGCCUCUUUCUCAUCGCCGCAAUGUUGCAUCUCUUGCUAUCUUCUACUGCUAUUUUCAUGCUAACUGCUCUUCUGAUCUUGCUAACUGCAUGCCUCCCUCCUCCUGUGGCCUUGCUGCACAAGACUUUCUUCUUUCUCUCACUGCUAUUCUGUCCACCUCUGUAUUGCAAGAGUUAACCAGCAUUCUCAAUUAUUCAUCCCUUUCUCUGGUAUACUCUGGAACUCCAUGCCUGCUUCUGUAUUUCCAUCUUCCUAUAACUUGAAUUCCUUCAAAAGGGAGGUUUCAAGACACUUAUCCUUCAAUUUUUGACUGCCACUUUGGACCCUAUUUGGGGAUCAGCAUCUCAUUCAUUUUUCUAUUGGAUUUUUGUUGCCCUUGGACAGUGCCUUCCUACAUAAAAAAAAAAAAGAUAAUGGCUUGAUAGAAAUGGAAAACAAGAAUAGAACUUAUGGAAAAAUGGAGCCUUUUACUACUAAUGCUGAUGAAAGAUGUGAAGGUGUAAUAACAAGGGAACAGAGAGGAGAAACAAGCAUAAUUGAUUUUGUUCACACAAACGAAAGAUUGUAUUCACACUUUGAAAAUAUGCUCAAUAAUAAAAAGAAAACCAUUUUUGACCUACCAGGCCACUGUUUGAUAACAGUAAGCUUUAAAUUCAAAUGUAGAAACAAAUUAAACAAGGGUGAGACUGAAGUAAUUGAAUACUACAAUGUGAGGAAUGAAGAGUUGAAGCAAAAAUAUAUUAAACAUCUUGAAAAAGGUUUACAAAGAAUACCAGAAGCAACUUUUGAAAUUGUGUAUAUGAAGAACCUGAUGAAAGAGGCAGCAGAUAAAUAUUUGAAGAAAACCAGGAAAGGAGUAAAGGAAGAAAUACAGGAGCCAGUCUGGAUUAGUGAGGACAUAAAAAAAAGAGUAUAAGUAAAAGGAGAGAGCGUAAUAGAAGGAAUGCUACAAGAGAGAGAGAGAGGGAAAUAUAGGGGACUAUAUGAGACUCAGAAACAAGCAACAACAAAAAAAAAAAAAAAAAAGAAAAUCCAUGAAAGGAAGGUGACUGCUGAGAUUAAGAAUGGAAAAAAUACAAGUAGAAAUUUAUGGAAGAAUAUAAAUAAAUUGCAAGGAAAGGAACUGAAAAACAAAAAUGUGAAAAUUUAUGAUAAGACUGGUGAGGAACUUCAAGGUAACUGUGUUGAAGAGAUAACUUCUUUUUGGAGAAAUAUUUAUCAAAAGCAUUCAAAUAAUAUUAGAGAAGUGUGGAAUGAUGAAGUUAACAGAGGAUAUGAACAGGAAAUGAUACCAAUAACAGAAUCAAAAAUUCAUAUUAACUAUGAUGAACCAAAAGAACUUAUCUUUCCAAAGGCCUUAGAAGAACAUUUUAGUAUGAUUAGAGGUCAAAGACUAGAACUGCCAGAUGAUAAAAUGAGAUGAGAACUUGCACAAGGAGAGAGAAGCUAUGAGAACAUUCCACAAGUGUUAAAGGAACAUUUUGAUGCAUUAAGAGGUGAAAUAAAUGACAGACCUCUGAAGAGAAUGAAGGAAGUCUUUACAGAAGAUGAUAUAAGGAGGAAGCUAAAUAGGUUGAAAAGUAAUAAACAGCCUGGGCUAGAUGUGGAAUGAAAUGUGGAAGUGGAUGGGAGGAAGCAAAAUCUGUAUGGGAGUAUUAAUCAAGAGUAUGAAUAGAGAAAAGGCUGCCUCUUGACAAAUGGAAAACAUCAAAAACUGUACUUAUAGCAAAAAAUAAGAUGCCAAAGAUAGAUUUUAGACCCAUUGCCCUGACAAAUGUGUGAUAUGAGCUCUUCAUAAGUUUAAUUAAAGAAAAGAUAUUAGUACAUUUGAAAGAUAAUGAGGAAAUAAAUGAGAUGCAGUCAGGCUUUACAAAAGGGCAGAGAUUGGAAGAUAACAUAUUCUUGGUGAAGUAUUGUAUUAAAGAUGCAAAAAGAAGAAACACAAAAUUGGUUUUAACAGCUAUAGAUUUUCUGAGAGCAUUUGAUUCCAUCAACAGAGGCAAGCUAAUACAAGCACUAAAGAAAUACAGGUGUGAACCAUUAAUGAUUGAUUGCAUUGUAAGACUUUAUAGUGAAGAUGAAACAUCUAUAUACUUCAAUAAUGAGGAAGUGUGCAAGAUUGGUGUGGUUGGGGGUAUACGACAAGGGUGUACUGGAUCUCCACAGUUGUUUGUCAUGGUGGUAAACCUAAUAAUAAAGAAAAUUUGCAGAACAAAAAUAGUCUUUAAAAACAACACAAUAUACUUACCAGCACUUUCCUUUGCAGAUGACAGACUACUUAUUACAAACUUGGUGAGAGGCAAGGAGCACCUGCUGGAAGUGGUGGUGGAAAUGGCUGGAGAAUGUGCGCUAGAAAUAAGUAAAGAAAAAAGCUGUUGUAUGAUCUACAGUGAUGGGGAUAAACCUGGAAAUACAAAAGAAUUGCAGAAAGAAACUUUUAGAGAGAGAGAACAAGGAAGAAGUGCAGGAGGAGCAAGGGGAGCAGAGACUAGAGCCACCACCAGCACAUGAUUAUUAGAAGAAUUCGCCAAAGUCCGGUGCUGUUGCAAAAGUUAUACCAGACGAUAUCAUCUGAUCUAAUCUAUAGGAGUUGCCAGUACAAAGGCCUGGCUCAAGAGUAAUCCUGAAACACCUGUAGCAUCAGGAUCAAGGUGGUCAGUGCCGGUCAUGUUCUACUGAGUGUGCAGCAGAUUGCGCCUGUGUAUGAGCUGGCCUGGAUCACCUGUGGUAGACUGGCAGCACCUCCAUGGCCUCACCUGAGAGCAUGUUGAGCAGGGAACAAGUAAAUUUUGGGAGGUGAAUGACUAAGGUGGUGGUCACCAUCACUCUUGUUGUGGCUUGUUUGUUUGGGUAAAUUUUUACUCUUGCAUCAGGUCUCUAUUCAGGACAAAACUAUUUUUUUCUGGUAGUUUUUGUUUUUGUUUUUGUUGUUUUCAGUUAAUCUGCAUGUUUUUUCCUGCAAAUAAUUUUUUACCCCCCACCUCUCGAACCCCCCAUCAGAAAUUAAUGUUUUAUGGUAAAGAUAAAAAGCAGAUUAAUGCAAAACUGACCAAAAUCUAUCAGGAAAAAUUGUUUUGUCCUCAUAAAUGUAACAAUGUUCCCCACAAGACAACUGGCUGCCGUUAGUCCGUGGCCAGCAGCCAGCUGUCACCACCACCACCACCUAACCAAACCUAAUGAAACCAAUCUAACCUAACUAAACUAACCUUACCUAUCAAACCUAACCAAACUAACCUGACUAAGCUAACCUAACCUAACUAAAUUAAUCUAACCUAAUUAAACUAAUCUAACCUAACCUAACCAAAUUAACAUUAACAACCUAAAUAAACUAAUCUAACAAAAACAAAUUAGCCUAGCCUAACUGGCAAGGCUAAGAAAUUAAUAUGAAGUCGUUACCUUGUUUCAUCUUCGUAAAAUCUGGCAAUGCAAUAGAAAUAAUUGAGGCAAUGCCGCGACACCCACCACCAAAAGACAUCUUCCUCAGAUUAAUUAAAACAUUUCAAACUGAGCCACUUCUCUCUCCACAGGAUGAAAUAAAAUGCCAUGAUUAACUAAAUUAAUUCAGUAUUUCUUAUUGGCCAGCAGCUACAUUCUCAAAAAAAAGAAUGAAUCACCAUAACUAAUUUCACACUUGCCCAACAGAUGUGACAUAUGUAUGCACAGACAAACACAUCUUCACCAGUGUGCCUCAGUACCUGCCUAUCCAUUACAUGCACAAGUGUGUCACUUCUGAACAUUGUCUGCAAGCAAGCUUGUUUCCCCAAAAACAGAUAAAUCUUUAAAAAUUGCUAUCAGCAUAAUAAACAAUUUGCAGU